AUGCUGAACAAUAGAAAUAUGUACACCGAGUCUCGUGAGGGUUUGAGGAAAGACCAGCACAGCCCAUCCUAUCAACAGAUAAACUGUAUCGAUUGUGUCACCAGAUAUCUGAAGAGCUGCAACACCCCAGCUUUAAAAAGGAAGUGCAUCUUGUGUAGGAACACAACUUCUUCAUCCUCAGAGGAGGACGGAGAUCCUCAGGGUGUCCAGGCUCUGCAAGCUAUCGCAUGGAUCCCCGCCAUUCCUACACCGGAAGUGCCCCAAACAGCUAGUCCACAGAUGGGGGGGCUGACCCUGUUCACCACAGAGCUGAGCGUGGGCCCGGGUGUGAGCCAGUGCAGCUGCAGCAGCGCCCUCAUCCCCGUCUCCUCUCCACACCCCACACCCUGGGGCCAGCAGAGGACGCCGCUAUACCGAGAGCAGAAGCGCAGCCGAGUGCUCCUGAGUCCAAGGAGGUUCUGCCUCCAAGCAGACCAGAUGGGCUGGAUGCAAGAAAGAGAAGCAAGCGUUAGAAGCUACCGGUGCCUCUGCUUCAGGACGAGCGGCCCUGGUGGCCUCCCACAGCCCGGCUCCCCAGGCCUGAGGUCUGGCGCCGCCUUGGCCCCUCACCUCCUGUCUGUGCUGCCCUCCCAGCACGGCUCGGAGCCCUCUGGGAGCAGGGGACACCGCAGACUGGGAGUGCGCCUGGGAGCCUGCCCGAGCCACCCUGGCCCAGCGGCCUGCACGCUCUGCUGCGCUUCCUGCCCCGCGCUGGGCUACUGUCACGACCCUCCCCUGAACGGCCGGUGUCCUGCUCAGUCACCGCCCUCUCCACAUCCACCCUCGGGGGCCGCGGGCGGGAGCUUCUGAAACGCCAACCGAAACGUCAGCGGUGGCUCCAAACCUUUAUUUUCUUGGGUUCGAGGACAAGAUUUAUUGAAAAUAAGAUGCUAUGUGGAUGGAACAGUUUUGCAAUUAAGUGAAACUUCUUUAUAAUUCACAAG
rnacentral:lncRNA from 1 species